ensembl:lncRNA ASMTL-AS1 ASMTL antisense RNA 1
UGUGUGGGCACCAGAGGGUGAACUGAGGUCUGAGGGUCGGGACACAGGCCGGGAACAGCAGCUGGGAGCGGAGCACGGGGGAAACGUGGAUGCGCUGAGCUCCCUACAACCGCAGUGAGCAUGUGCCCAGGAGGGCCUCACGGGGUGGGUGUGAGUCUGGCCUGCCUGGGCUCGGGGUGGGGGGUGUUUACAGACGCAUUUCAGCCCCGCAGCAGGGGCUGGGGAGGUCCCGCUCGUGACAGUCUCUGCACCAAGGCAGGAGAGAUGGAAGCCGCCCAGAGAACUGCCACUCCAUAGCCUGUGGGCAUCCAGGGGUGAGCGGCAGCGAUGGCGCCCCAUGGAGGAAACACACUGGAAAUCGUGCAGAAGAUGGGAAGAUGCAGGCUGGAGUGCGGAGAAGGACUGAGACCCUGCCUGGUAGACGGCACCGUCACAGCAGCCGUCUGCCUGCUAGGAGGCUCCGCUCCUUGCCUUCAGUCUGCACCAGCAUGUUCAGUGACUGCAUCAGGGCGCGCUGCGCCACCCUCUUCUCCUCAUCCAGGAGCGUCUCCACCAGCAGCAGGCCGGCCCCUGA